rnacentral:lncRNA from 1 species
UAUUCUGCAGCCUCGCCAGUGAGAAGGAGGGUGGGCUCCGCCUGUGCACCGCGGUGAGAGAAGAGGCGACGGCCGUGGCUCCUUGUAGUGGGUUGACUUUUGCACUGAAUGUAGCUGGGACGGGUACUUUGGGGCUUCAACAGCCCUGAAAAGCUGUCAAGGCAGAAUUUUGUAUUUCAGCAGAAUUUUGCACAGAUUCUGUUCCCAUGCAAACUGAUGAGGGAGAAAUUUUGGAGGAGGGCAGUUCCAAGGUCAGUGAGAUAGCAGAAU